rnacentral:rRNA from 1 species
GACGAACGCUGGCGGCGUGCUUAACACAUGCAAGUCGAACGAUGAAGCUGGAGCUUGCUCCGGUGGAUUAGUGGCGAACGGGUGAGUAACACGUGAGAAAUCUGCCCUUGACUCUGGGAUAACUGCGGGAAACUGUAGCUAAUACCGGAUACUUUCCUUGGUGGGCAUCCACUGGGGAAGAAAGAAUUUCGGUCAAGGAUGAGCUCGCGGCCUAUCAGCUAGGUGGUGAGGUAAUGGCUCACCAAGGCGACGACGGGUAGCCGGCCUGAGAGGGGGACCGGCCACACUGGGACUGAGACACGGCCCAGACUCCUACGGGAGGCAGCAGUGGGGAAUAUUGCACAAUGGGCGCAAGCCUGAUGCAGCAACGCCGCGUGAGGGAUGAAGGCCUUCGGGUUGUAAACCUCUUUUAGCAGGGAAGAAGCGAAAGUGACGGUACCUGCAGAAAAAGCACCGGCUAACUACGUGCCAGCCGCCGCCGUAA